CAAGACCUUGCGCUUUUGGAGCGGCCGAUGUCUGAUUAGCUAGUUGGUGAGGUAAAGGCUUACCAAGGCGUCGAUCAGUAGCUGGUCUGAGAGGACGACCAGCCACACUGGGACUGAGACACGGCCCAGACUCCUACGGGAGGCAGCAGUGGGGAAUUUUGGACAAUGGGGGGAACCCUGAUCCAGCCAUGCCGCGUGAGUGACGAAGGCCUUCGGGUUGUAAAGCUCUUUCAGUCGGAACGAAACGGUCACGGUUAAUAUCCGUGACAACUGACGGUACCGGAAGAAGAAGCACCGGCUAACUACGUGCCAGCAGCCGCGGUAAUACGUAGGGUGCGGGCGUUAAUCGGAAUUGCUGGGCGUAAAGCGUGCGCUGGCGGUUUUGUAAGUCAGAUGUGGAAUCCCCGGGCUUAACCUGGGAACU
rnacentral:rRNA from 1 species